CUGUGAGCUUUAUAGCAACAAGAUGCUGCUAUCUUUAUACUGCAUAUACUUUUGAGUAGUUUGUCAUUUCAGUGGUAGACUUGGUGAGCCCUACAGACAUCCUGGGGCCCAAGAGCAUGUGACUGAGAGAUCUGGUCAAGGAGGAAGACUGUAAUCACAGAACAGAGCAAAACCAAUUGGCUUAUGGAAGCACUGAUACCUCAGUCUUGGCUCCGUUAACAUGGGGCUCAAACUAACUGGCCACCACACAGUAUUUGUAAAUGGGCGGAUAGGCAGACAUGCAAACAAUACACUAGACAUAUCUUAAACCUAACUGCAUUCUGGCCAAUCAACAUUCAUUGAGCAUCUAUUAUAUGUGAAACAGUAAAACAGAUGGAUACUCACAGAAAUACCCUCCUGAAAGUUAAACAUAUAACAAUUCACUGGAAGACAUAAAAAUAUUUACCAGGUAUUUUGGUAACAUCUCUCAACAGCUCAAAGAGUAAGUCCAAGGUUGGCGGUUGGUGCUGACGUGGGCAAUUGGACACAGCAGCUGUUAACUGCUCAAGUAAGAUGAUCCAGACUUCUAUCAGACCUGGAAUCCCAAAAACAGCCUCUGUAAGACCCACUUCAACACAGUGAUCACUGCAAGAUCAAAUUCAACAGUGCAUUUAACAGGGUUCUACACACUGUCAAGAGCUGUAAGGAUGUCCACAAGCUCCAGGUCUAAGAGCACUCCAUGGUGACGCUCAGAACUGUAAGGCCUGAGACUGCUGCCCUCAGAAAGGCUCACUUGCAAGGUUGCUGCAGCCAACAGCUAACUGGGCGCUGAACAAGGGCCUCCACCCCGACUGGAUCUGCGUGGAACACACUUCAACCAGCUCACCAAUGGAUGUGACCACCUGGAGAGGCAAAGAUGGUGGCACUUAAAAUCCUUUCCUUAAAAGCAGCAGGAGAAUUUCUGGAAAGGAUGACAUACUUCUCUGUCCCCCAUUUCUGGGUUAAUUUUAGAAAAGCAAAUAACCAGAACCCAAACAAUCUCACCCUAAAAUCAUCAAGGUGCACAGUUAUAUCGCAUUUCUCUAAUGUUCCUGAACAACUUUUCACAUGCUUAUAGGCGAUUCAUAAGUCUUUUGUCUGUUUUUUAAAUUCAAUUUUUUCUUUUCAUUAUUGAGUCGCUAGAUUCUUUAUGUAUUAUAGAAUCGUCCUUCACGAGAUAUAUGAUUUGCAAAUCAUUUUUUCCCAGCAUUGGGCUUGUCUAUUAAUGGUGAUUUGAAGAGUAAAAGUUUUUAAUUUUGAUGAAGUCUAAUUCAUCAACUUUAUGGAUUAUUUCUAAGAAACCUUUGCCCAACCCGCAGUCUUAAAAAUUCUCUUAUGCUUUCUUCUAGAAAAUUUAUAAAUUAAAAUUUUACAGUUUUAGCUCUUACAUCUCUGACCAAUUUUGGGAUAUUUUUUGUGCAUGAUAUGAGGUAAGUUCAUUUUGAUUACAUAUGGAUAUUCAAUUGUUUAAAAGCACCAUUUGCUGAAAACACUGCCUAUUCCCAUAAAAUUGUAAUGGCAUCUUGGUAAAAACUCAAUUACUGUAUUUUUUGCAAAUAAUACAUGUAUACAUAUAACAUGCAUAGUGCACCUAGGGAAAAAAUGCACGAAGAGGUUUUGCAGUUGUCAAAAACAAAAAAAAAGUAUGAUGCACAUUACACUGUACUCAGUUCCACUGAUCUGUAUGUCUGUCCUUACACCAGUACUACACUGUCUUGUUUACUGUACCUUCAUGGUAAGUUCUGAAAGUAGGUGGUAGUGUUCUCCAAAUUUGUUCUUUUCCAAAUUUGUUUCUGCUUUUCUAAAUCCUUUGCAGUUUCAUAUAAAUUUGAGAACUGCCUUGUCAAUUUCUUCAAAAAAGCCUGCUGAUUUUGAUAGGGGUUGCACUGAGUCUAUACACAUCAGCUUGGAGGAAACUAUUAUUUGAAAAACAUUGAGUCCUUUAAUCCAUGAACAUGGUAUAUUUCAUAAUCUGUUUGGAUCAUCUCUAAUUUCUCUCAGCAAUGUUUUGUAAUUUUUGGUGUACAGGUUUUGAAUUCGUAAAAUUUUUUAACUAUUUUAUUAUUUUUGAUGCUCUUGUGAAUGGAAUUUUUCUUUUAAUUUCAUUUUUGGAUAAUUCUUUUCUAGUGUAUAGGAGUUCAAUUGAUUUUAGUUUGUUGAUCCUGUAUUCAGGGACCUAGCUAAACUCACGUAUUAAUUCUACCAAUUUUUUUGUUGUUGUUGUUAAAUUCCUUAGGAUUUUCGACAUACAAGAUCAUGUGGUCUGUGAAUUAAGAAGGUUUUACAUAGCCUCUCUUUGUCACACAUUCCAUAUAGAAUUAUUGCAAGGAGUAAGCAUGCAAAGCCUGCAGAACAGUGCCUACCACUACAUUCAAAAUAAGUUUGCUAUGAUGAUGACGAUGAUGAUGAUUACUGUGAGACACUCACCUGGUCUUGGACAUCCUCGUCACACAACUCUAGCUGCAUAAUACGCUCAAAAGGGCGGAAGAGUGCUUCAUUAAAGUGAAAAUGAGGUGGCUCAUUCCAGUCAGUAAGAACCUCUGUCAGUAUAUCAUGGAUGAAGGAAACAGCCUUCUGAGAAACAUGUCUUUCCUUGUGGCAAGCAGCCUGCAAAAUUCACAGCAGAAGGGAAAACCAUCAGGACUUUGGCCAAGUAAGAUUUUGGUUUCUGAAGGAUUUCCUAACCCACCUGAACAUCAUUAUAGGGAGGUAGAAGCAGUGAUUGUGUUAAAGUAGAAAUAUUCCAGUAGACAAGUAUAGAUGCGCUGCAUGCUAAAUUGCAUUUUUAAAAAUUUAACCCACUGAUCCAACACAACUCCAAUUUCACUUUAAUGAUUCUGGAAAAAUAAGAGUUUCUAGUAAUUUCAUUCCCCCCACCCCCACCCCAUAAUAAUGUGACGAUUUUCUUGGAUGGUAUAGAACAUGCUUACUAUAGAGAUGUCAGAACCUAGUCUGAGAACUGCUCAUGGUCUUAUUUCUUAGCCUUGCCCCAAACAAACGAAGACCAGGUAAGUCAUUUGUCCCUCAGUGAGGUAGGUCAUUGCAACAGUAGUCCCAGCUGGUUCACACCUCUUUAUAUCCAUGCCCUUUAGUUGUCCUUUCUCAUACCGACCCUGGGCUUGGAUGUAUGACUUGCUUUGGGCAAUAACAAACAUUACAUAACAAAGACUGGAAAAGUACCUGUGAUUGGGGUUUGUCCUCCUGCAGUUCUUUGAAAGCCUAAGAAUGCCAUGUGAACAAGCCUGGGCUAGCCGGCUGGAGGAUGGGAGGCCAUGUAGAGAGAGAACCACUUGCUCAGCCAUCAGCCAUCUCUGUCAAGGCCAUUAUGAACCAGCCAGCCUUAGUCUUUGCACUAGCAAGGCCUACUGAGAUCAGCCAAGCGUGGCCCAGACCAGAACUGUCACAGAGCCCAGCUAAAAUUUCUGACCACAGAAUCACAGCUAAAUAAAUGGCUGCUGUUUUAAGCCAUUAAGUUUUUGGGGUGGUUUGUCUUAUCUCUACCAGAUAAGUGAUAAAGGGCUAUGUGAGAAUAGUUAUCACUGUAAAACAAUUUGAUGACUGGCUAUUUCUAAAUUGAUGAGGUAACAAUUUUUCCUCACCAACUUAGUAGUAGCCAGUCAUCACUGAUUGAGAUACUUAGAUGUAGAGUUUCAAUAGAUGAAUCAUACAAGUGGAUUUUCUUUGGACUGUGAAAGCAUGCAACUGUUUUAAUUCUGUUGAGAAAAUGAGGAUGUAUGGUUUCCCUACUGAGGGUAUAUUUAGCUUUUAGAAUUGAGAGACUGGCAGGAACAAAAGGCAUUGCUAUAUUCAUGUAUAAAAAUGAGGACAUUCGGAAUCAUCUGCUUAUCUUUCAGCUCCAAACUCAGGUUGAUACCAGAUCAAAAAGAAUGAAAACCUGUCUGUGUAAGGUACCUGAGUUGUAUAAUUGUAAAUAGGUCAGAUCAAGACCCUGUCCUUCCAGGUGACUCUUUAGAUGCCAUACGGGAGAACCAGAGAACGAUGAUGUUUGGGACCAGAUGACAGGAGCAUUGCCCUUGCUUUAUGGCCACCGUGCUCUGUCUAUACAAUGACUGGACACCUCUGUGAUGCCUCUGCUGGGAGAGUUCCCUAAGCCAGUUGCUCUUUCUGGUGGUUCUGGCAGUUCUGGCUACUGCUCACUUUCAAAGUGCUCACCUCCACCAAGUGUGGGGCCACAAGGCUCCAGCAGCGCAUCACAUGGAGCAGGGGCCGUGAUUUGCCCCGCACGAUCCUCAGCAUGGCAUCCCCCAGGCGGAACAGGUGGAGGGCACUUUUUCGGUCCUGGGUGGAUUUGACUUCUCCUACAGGAAGGCAAGACAAUAAACAUCAUAAAACCCAAACUCAGAAGUAACUGAACCUAUUCAAGCAGAGAGCGAAUGAAAAUCUGGGGAAAUAAUUCCCCUCCCACCUGUCAGAACUGAACUGGACUGGUGAGCAUAUUGGUACAUAGAAGCCCAUUGAGCUGCACAGGGUAGUUUGCUGCACGUACGCACGCAUGCGCACACAUACACACACGAGCCUCUAUGCUGAGAUCUAACAGCUACAACAGUGAUACAGGGACGACUGGGUAUCCCUCAGAGUACAGAGCUACUGUAACUCAACAUCUACUCAUCCAUUUGAUCUCUUGUUACUGCUUUGCCAUGGUCACUUUGGUCUUCCCCCCUUCCUCGUUGCUCAUCAUGUCCUAUUGCUGCUCCUACAAAAUGCUGGUCUUUACUGUACUCUUCCAACCAGAACAUUCCUUUUUCAUUAGUCUUGCCAUGCCAAAUAAACUUUGAAGAAACAAUCACUGGCAUAUACUGAAUACUUACAGUGGAUCAGAUAUUGUGUGGUACCUUACCUCGUUAAUCACUUAAAUGUUUGAACAUCCUCAAGAAGUAAAUAUAAUUAUUGCCAUUUUACAGAUCAGAAAAUUGAAUGUCAGAAAGGCAAGAUGUCUUGCCCAAGAUGAUGCAGCUGGAACAUGGUGAAGCCAGCACUGUAACUCAGAUCUGACUGAUUCCAAAGCCAGCGCUUCCUCCUCCUAUGCUUGCUGUCUCUUCCUGACCCUGCUCAUUGUCUUCUGGAAGCUCAAAACCUGCUGUUUUUUUCCAGUGCAAAAGACUUUGAGGGCUUCCUCUGAGCUCAGAGAUACUCUGGAAGUCAAUGAGUCUGGGAGGUUGGCUUGAUAUAGCUAAGGUUUCAUUAUCUAUUAAAAACUAGUAGGGAAAGAACCGUGGUUCUCAGGUUAGAUAGCAAUAAAGACCAAAAGGGUAAAUAAAUUGCACUUAGAACUUCCGAUUCCUAAAAUGGAAGGGACCUCAAGAGGUGGUAGGGUCCAACCUGCCACCAAGGUAUUUCCACAGCACGUGGCUAUGUGGCUUCUCUCUGCAUUCAUCCAGGACUAGAUUCUCAGUUUCAAGGAGGGCCUGUGCUGCUGUUCCAUGUGUGAGCAACCUGCCUUCAUUUGCAGCCAUAGGGCAAUUUAGUUCCUCUACUCCCUCUUCCAUGAGGUUGCUAUUUGAGACCAGCUUUCCUCUCUGCCCCAUCGUUACUGGGAUACGCCCUGAAAGCAGUUUUUCUAAGAGAAGGAUCAAAUCUCUGUUGCUCCAUCCUUCCAUUUCCUCUCUCACCAAUCCCUUUUAGAAUCAACAGCUGCUCUGCAAGUGGGCUGGACUGAGGUGAGCAGGAUGGUUCAUGAUAUGCAGAAAGGUUCCAACCCUCAUGAGAAGCACCCCUAAGUAGCAGCCAUAUAAUUUCUGUAUCACAAGCAUAAUCCUUAACAGAACCACCUAGCCCAGCUCCAGUGGCAAUACCCUGCAGCAGUGGUGGCAGCAAUACUUCCAUUCACAAGUAAUAAUACCACCCCACAGAACACAUGGUGCCUCAAAAUCAGAUGACAAAUCUGCCCUGGAACUUAGCCAGAGUGACCACAUGCAAAGGGAAAGAAUUACCUGGCAUUGCCAGAGAGUAAUCGACCGUAUCCGUCACAGAAUGGAAAAGCUGGGACUGUGAAGCUUUCUUCAGCUGGUAAAGAAAACCUCCCAGAGCCACUAGGUUCAACUUAUCUGUAGCCUCUUCAAAGAGCCUGGAUGCAAACAAAGAAAGAAAGAUCUGUUACUUGGAAAGAAUUCAGCAGUUUUUAUGGCAGAAUGAUUAUGUGAGAGCCAUGGACAGCAGCAGAUCACAGACCUGCACAUUAAACCCAUUCCGCUCCAGGCUAAUGCAUCCCGGUUCUUUUAAAAACACCUCUCAAGAUCAGUUUUUCAACCUAAAGCUGUUACAUAAUAAUUGCUGGUAGCACAUGCGAUGUAUGUAUAUUCAUAAACCCAAGACCCAAGUCAUUACCUGCCACUGUGGAGCCAUCAAU